AGAGUUUGAUCCUGGCUCAGGAUGAACGCUGGCGGCGUGCUUAACACAUGCAAGUCGAGGGGAAACGACAUCGAAAGCUUGCUUUUGAUGGGCGUCGACCGGCGCACGGGUGAGUAACGCGUAUCCAACCUGCCCACCACUUGGGGAUAACCUUGCGAAAGUAAGACUAAUACCCAAUGACGUCUCUAGAAGACAUCUGAAAGAGAUUAAAGAUUUAUCGGUGAUGGAUGGGGAUGCGUCUGAUUAGCUUGUUGGCGGGGUAACGGCCACCAAGGCGACGAUCAGUAGGGGUUCUGAGAGGAAGGUCCCCCACAUUGGAACUGAGACACGGUCCAAACUCCUACGGGAGGCA
rnacentral:rRNA from 1 species